AGUGAACGCUGGCGGUAGGCCUAACACAUGCAAGUCGAACGGCAGCACAGUAAGAGCUUGCUCUUACGGGUGGCGAGUGGCGGACGGGUGAGGAAUACAUCGGAAUCUACUUUUUCGUGGGGGAUAACGUAGGGAAACUUACGCUAAUACCGCAUACGACCUACGGGUGAAAACAGGGGAUCUUCGGACCUUGCGCGAUUGAAUGAGCCGAUGUCGGAUUAGCUAGUUGGCGGGGUAAAGGCCCACCAAGGCGACGAUCCGUAGCUGGUCUGAGAGGAUGAUCAGCCACACUGGAACUGAGACACGGUCCAGACUCCUACGGGAGGCAGCAGUGGGGAAUAUUGGACAAUGGGCGCAAGCCUGAUCCAGCCAUACCGCGUGGGUGAAGGAGGCCUUCGGGUUGUAAAGCCCUUUUGUUGGGAAAGAAAAGCAGCAGGUUAAUACCCCGCUGUUCUGACGGUACCCAAAGAAUAAGCACCGGCUAACUUCGUG
rnacentral:rRNA from 1 species